CUUCUUAAAAGAGUAGUACAAGGGCAAUCAUCCAGGCAAACUGAACAAUAUCAUCACAAGUAUGAAACUGAACCUUUAGUUGCACUAGAUGACUACCCUUGUCACCUCAAGAUUCAAGCCUCUCCUCUUAUCCUCUUCUCCAACCAUGCACUGAAAACUGCACAAAAUGCAGAAAAUGUACGUUAAACCAACCUUCAUCAAUAGAUCUUUUUUGAAUGAUGGUCGACUCUGUACAUGGUCCAGAGAUUGGAUCAUAAUGAAAACUAAAAUAUUGCGUUAGCCUUUCCCAUAAGUUUUUUGAAGAAGAAAAUCAGAAGCAUCAGUACCUACUACAUGGAAAACAAAUCCCUUUAGAAAAGUUUUGCAUGUAGAUUAUGAUAUUAUCAUAGCUUCUUUAUGAUUUAGAUUUUAACCGUAUUCAGGACAAUAUCAGUGGCAUCUCAACGAUCUAGUUAAAUACCUAGACCAAAACUCAAUGAAGAACCACAAAUCAGUCGAACCUAAACAUGAAAAUUUGGAACUCGCUGACUUUAUGUCACUCUAGCAGUAAUAGUAGUACGAGCUCUGGUAGAAAAUGUAACUCGCAAGGUGCAUAUAGAUACGCUGCUGUCUUUUUUUUGUUUCAAAGAGAAUGCUCGCGAAGAGAAGAUACAAAGGAUUUGAUAAAAACAUUUUCGUGUAAUAAAACUGCAGCCAACGAAGUAGAUAACUGCAUAGGCUAUGCACUGUAAUCGUGGCAGCAACCCAACAACAGUAAAUACCAUAUAUCAGUUGACAGCGUCAAAAAUAACCAAAGAAUUACACGUUGCUGGGUUAAGUCUCAUCUUCCUCCAUAUAAAAGCUCUGCAUAAUUUACCUGGGGUAAGUCUCAUCUUCCUCCAUUACCCUGCCGAGGGAAACACCAAACAAAAACUUCUAGACCGUCAGAAUGAAGCUUCACCAUUACCCUGCCGAGCUACACUGUCAUGCACGACAUAACAUUAAUUUGGCAUGUAUUAUCUGAAAUUCAAACUUACAUAUACGCAUCUCCUGUAAUAUUUAAAAAAAAUAGUAUCCUUUAAUUGUCAUAAGGAACACGUAUGCAGAGAAAAAAAGUGGUCUGCAGCCAGAGAGAACCACAGAAUUAUAACCAAAGAAUAAUUUUGCAAUUUGUCAACAAUCUAAUGAAUCAUAAAGGAUCAAUAGCUAUACGUACAAAAUAAAUUGAAUUGGCUAUAAUGCAUUCAACAUGAAACUAAAUGUGCCUGAGAUUGAGGACUUAUUGGAGACACCAAAUCUGAUUUGAGCAAUAAGGGUUAUAGAAGAAAAGAUACAUAAUGUUGACAAUAAAUUACAUGAAACACCAGAAAUUUAAACCUGAUUAUAAGCAGACGCCAUGAACAGCAUGAAUCGAAUUCAAGAACAAACCUGAAACUAUUUGAUGCCAAUCAAUAUGUUGUAUACAGCAUCACGACACCAGAGUCUAAUAUUCUUAAUAAUUUGGUCACUGCGGCCCCUAGAGUAUGUUGCAUCUUAGCGUGCUCACCAACCUUCUCAAUCCAGGGCACCUUCUUCUCCGCUGACGGUUAGUUAAAGAAAUUGAAGCAGCGCACAAGGAAAAAAAAGACACACUCAAGCAAACAUACCUGAAGUCACGACGGCUGUCUCGCUACCCAUCUUGUCGUUUGACACCAGCGGCAGCCGGAACCUCCAUAUUGUCCACCUGCAGCACCCACACCUAUUGAGGGAGGCCGCUAGCGGGGGAAGGGGCUG
rnacentral:lncRNA from 1 species